GCCGAAAUAGUGUGUGACUCCAAAGUUAAUGUCGCUAUUUUCACCGAACCACCUCUACCAAUGUCGACCAACUGCUGAUGCUUGUGUCUCCAGAUCGUGUAAAUUACUUGUGUCCGUGUUGGGAUGUUAAACGAUGAUGGGCGCUGUUGUAUUCUGGAAUUGGAUGCGAAAUUUGAUUUUAAGAAAAUUGGGGGUAUUGGCCGUGUACGGUGAUGUGUUGUUGUGGUGAAGAAGCCAAGUCUCUUUUUUUCUUAAAGAAGCAAAGUCUGGUGCAAUCUUCAAUGCGGCCUUUUGUUGGCUAGG
rnacentral:lncRNA from 1 species